GUUAUGUCUAAUCAUGGUCAUCUAAGUGGGAGUGUAUUGCCUGGCUCUUCAUUCGACUUUUGACGUACUCACAGGUGGUCGGAUUCUGUCUGCCGGGUCUGGCAAGAAGCAAGUUCAUGCACUGUCUAGGGAUGAGAAUACAGUUUGCUCAGUUUUUACUCGACCUACAGUAAGAUAUCUUUUCUGCAGUGGAAAUGAUGUUUCAAAAGAGAUGGCUCGGUCUCCAACAGAGAUUAGAGGUCUAUUUUUUGAUAAAGUUGAAGAAGGUGGUGUUUGUGUAGUAGAUAAAUCACAAAAAUCUGUACCUAAGUCCUUUUCUUGUAAUUCCAUCCUUAUCAUAACAUGUUUGCUUUCAAGGUCCACAAGUUAUAACUGGCUCCCAUGACACGACGAUUAAGUUCUGGGACCUUAUAUAUGGUAUAACAAUGGAAACUCUUACACACCAUAAAAAGUCUGUGCGAGCAAUGGCUCUACAUCCUACAGAGUAUGUGCCUAUGAAUACAAUAGUUUUCUUCAUGAGGCUUUCCAAUUUAUUUUUUGAUUUAGUUUUGUUCCUUUUACCUCAAUUUCUUGCUCUUGUUUCCAGGAACUGUUUUGCAUCUGCGUAAAAAAUUUCAACCUUCCAAAAGGAGAAUUUAUUCGCAACAUGCUGUUUUGGAAGGAGCAACGGGAAGGACUUUUGGGUGGACUUUUGGAAGAGCUUGUUAAAAAAAGAAGGUAAAGUUGAUUUGCUUUCCUCCAAAGUUAUGAACACUUCAGUGACAUUUCCCUGCUUUAUGUAUGCGUAGGUUUAAGAAAUCAGGUUUUGAGUGUAUUUGAUAGGGUCUACUAUUUCUGUUGGUUGUGACUAGAGCAAACAAACAACUCUAAUUCUUGGUUCCGAUCAGUCAUCAAUGAAAAAUCACGAGGCGUAACAGGGUUUAUUAGUUUCAAUCACAUAUAUGAUCUUGUGCCUUAAUUGCUUUCUGCUCCCUCCUUCCCUAUUUGCAGUAGAAUCAUGCCCUAUUCUCACUUAUUGCACUGGUUGAAGUGAAGAUGAUUGUUCGAAGCAGGGU